rnacentral:rRNA from 1 species
GAUCCUGGCUCAGGAUGAACGCUAGCUACAGGCUUAACACAUGCAAGUCGAGGGGCAGCAUUUUAGUUUGCUUUGCAAACUGAAGAUGGCGACCGGCGCACGGGUGAGUAACACGUAUCCAACCUGCCGAUAACUCCGGGAUAGCCUUUCGAAAGAAAGAUUAAUACCGGAUAGUAUACGGAAUAUCGCAUGAUAUUUUUAUUAAAGAAUUUCGGUUAUCGAUGGGAUGCGUUCCAUUAGUUUGUUGG